rnacentral:rRNA from 1 species
UCGAUUCUUGGUCAUUUAGAGGAAGUAAAAGUCGUAACAAGGUUUCCGUAGGUGAACCUGCGGAAGGAUCAUUACAGUAUUCUUUUUGCCAGCGCUUAAUUGCGCGGCGAAAAAACCUUACACACAGUGUUUUUUGUUAUUACAAGAACUUUUGCUUUGGUCUGGACUAGAAAUAGUUUGGGCCAGAGGUUUACUGAACUAAACUUCAAUAUUUAUAUUGAAUUGUUAUUUAUUUAAUUGUCAAUUUGUUGAUUAAAUUCAAAAAAUCUUCAAAACUUUCAACAACGGAUCUCUUGGUUCUCGCAUCGAUGAAGAACGCAGCGAAAUGCGAUAAGUAAUAUGAAUUGCAGAUUUUCGUGAAUCAUCGAAUCUUUGAACGCACAUUGCGCCCUCUGGUAUUCCAGAGGGCAUGCCUGUUUGAGCGUCAUUUCUCUCUCAAACCUUCGGGUUUGGUAUUGAGUGAUACUCUUAGUUGAACUAGGCGUUUGCUUGAAAUGUAUUGGCAUGAGUGGUACUGGAUAGUGCUAUAUGACUUUCAAUGUAUUAGGUUUAUCCAACUCGUUGAAUAGUUUAAUGGUAUAUUUCUCGGUAUUCUAGGCUCGGCCUUACAAUAUAACAAACAAGUUUGACCUCAAAUCAGGUAGGAUUACCCGCUGAACUUAAGCAUAUCAAUAAGCGGAGGA